UACGGAGGGGGCGAGCGUUAUUCGGAAUUAUUGGGCGUAAAGGGCGCGUAGGCGGCUUGACAAGUCAAAGGUGAAAUCCCUCGGCUCAACUGAGGAACUGCCUUUGAAACUGUCUGGCUUGAGGCCGGGAGGGGGUAGCGGAAUUCCCAGUGUAGCGGUGAAAUGCGUAGAUAUUGGGAGGAACACCAGUGGCGAAGGCGGCUACCUGGACCGGUUCUGACGCUGAGGCGCGAAAGCGUGGGGAUCAAACAGG
rnacentral:rRNA from 1 species